UACAGAGGUCUCAAGCGUUGUUCGGAUUCAUUGGGCGUAAAGGGUGCGUAGGCGGCGCGGUAAGUCGGGUGUGAAAUCUCGGGGCUUAACUCCGAAACUGCAUUCGAUACUGCCGUGCUUGAGGACUGGAGAGGAGACUGGAAUUUACGGUGUAGCGGUGAAAUGCGUAGAUAUCGUAAGGAAGACCAGUGGCGAAGGCGGGUCUCUGGACAGGUCCUGACGCUGAAGCACGAAGGCCAGGGGAGCAAACGGG
rnacentral:rRNA from 1 species